CGAACGCUGGCGGCGUGCUUAACACAUGCAAGUCGAACGGUGAAGCGCCUUCCUUUUUGGUGGGUGUGGAUGAGUGGCGAACGGGUGAGUAACACGUGAGUAACCUGCCCCCUUCUUCUGGAUAACCGCAUGAAAGUGUGGCUAAUACGGGAUAUUCUGGGUCUGUCGCAUGAUGGGUCUGGGAAAGAUAUUGUUUCGGUGGGGGAUGGGCUCGCGGCCUAUCAGCUUGUUGGUGGGGUGAUGGCCUACCAAGGCGGUGACGGGUAGCCGGCCUGGGAGGGUGGACGGUCACACUGGGACUGAGACACGGCCCAGACUCCUACGGGAGGCAGCAGUGGGGAAUAUUGCACAAUGGGCGCAAGCCUGAUGCAGCGACGCCGCGUGAGGGAUGGAGGCCUUCGGGUUGUGAACCUCUUUCGCCAGUGAAGCAGGCCUGCCUCGUUUGUGGGUGGGUUGACGGUAGCUGGAUAAGAAGCGCCGGCUAACUACGUG
rnacentral:rRNA from 1 species